ACACUAAUACCACACACAUAAGAGCAUCGAGACUGACUCUUCUGUCACAGUGAGAAACUGGGCGUGAAAGUGUUUAUCUAGGGCUUUGGGAUUAUCAAUGAGCAAAUUACCACUGAUCCAGCAGAGGGUCUCAGGCAGACUGUGUGCUUCUGGCAGGGACUGAAGAUUCUGUCUCUAGGGUUUAAGAAGGAUGGGAGAAACGAGGGACAAAUGACUGCACUUUAUUUUGAUGAAACAUAUGUAGUCUAUUCUUAAUGGCUCAUUAUUGAUUCUUUUUUCCUUUUUGAUAUCACGCCCCUCCCCUUUUCCUUUAGAGUAUCUGUGUGAGUGUGUUUUGUUUGAGAGUGGUGGCUCAUGCUGAAAGAGGCAGAGAGCACUACUCCCAGGAGGAUUCAUCUCACUACCAGCCUGAGUGACUUUUCCUCCAGCUGCACCAAUGACUCUCCAUACACGCCAGCUGCAUGGAUAUGGACUGUAUUAUUUGUUGGCAUGGCUGACACUUUUCAUGUCACAAGUUGAUGGGCUGCAGUGCUAUGCCUGUAACAUUGUGCAUAACCAGAGGUAUGUGGAUGUAGGCUGCUCCAGCCCCGAAGUCAUCACCUGCUCCCACUCCCACAAGGGCUUUAAGCAUCGCUUCUGCAUCAGGACAGAAAGUGUUGCAUUGGGAGUCAUGCUGACCAGUGGCUGUGCCACAGCCCGACACUGCCACACGGAGGAGCUGCCGGGAGUCAACAUCCACUGCUGCGACUCUGAUCUGUGCAACAGCGCCACCCGCUGGCGGACAACCACACUGAUGCCUAUGUGCUCAUUGACGUUUGCUUUGUUGCUUCAAAGUGUCAUACUGUCGACGAAAUAACUUAGAACUUUGAACUUCACGGCAAAAUCACGGCAGCUACACUUGGAUUCAACACAUAAAGGAGGGAACCUUGAAAAUAUAAUUAUAAAAUCUUUGAACACAGAUCCUGGAGUAUGUGAACAAACCAAACAAAUUACUUUGAAACCUUCUUCACAUCACGUAUCACAUUUGAUCUUCAAUUUAAAGUUGUCUUUGGAUUAUUAGAUAAUUUCUUAAAAACAAAACAAAACAAAAAACUCAAUGUAAGCCUCACAAGGACUUUGUAUAUGGCCAAAAAACUUAAUUUGUAACCAUUUAAUUCAUUUUAAAGCAUAAGAAGAUACAUGCCCUUUACAUGUAUAUUGUUAUUUUACUCUGAAGAAGCUUUCUAUGUCUUCAGAAAUUGUUUACGGAUGCCCAAAUGUAAAAUGUCUUUGCAUUAGAAACAAAAUCUCAAAAACAAGUGGGCAAUGAAAAUGCUGACCUUUUCUCAGAUAUUUUUGCAAUUUCUUUUAAUCAGUUGGUCUCAAUGUGAUUUUGGUAACACUUUAGAAUAAUGGUCCGUCAUUAAUAAGUAACUAU